ensembl:lncRNA
UUUCUUUUAUAUACUCAAGAGUAUAUUUUAAACCUUAAUGUAAAUGUAAAACAAGAAGUUAAAGAAAUAUCUUUGCUAAUUUCUGGUUUCAGCCCAUGGUCCAGGCCCCAAGUGUUCUCCUUUUCCAGCUCCGACCGUAACUUGAGCUCUCAGACCUCGGCCUGCUAUCAGUCCUCGCAGACACCAGACUGCUGCCUGUCAUCCCCAGCCUCCUCCUGCUGGGAUCCCUCACUCCAAAGUCAGGCGCCCCAGAAUGAAGCCUAUUAUCAGUUCUCACAGAUUUAUUCCCACAGAAAGUACUCUGAACCCCCUGCUUACCAGUCUAGUCAGUCUCUGCCUCUCACGCUGCAUGAGGUGACUGAGAAAGCAGCAUCAGUCUCCCAUAGAGACAGAUUCACCCCUUACCCCCAAACACCAGAGAGACUUUUUGAACAGCAAUCUACACCAUGGAUAGACUCCACUGAAGAAAUCAGGCCGUCUUUCAGCCACACACUCUCUCCAGACGAUGGGGUUCUUGAUGAGGUAUUGUUCCCCACAGCAGAGCACCCUAGAACUGAUGAACAAGAGCCUUCUUUUGCUCGUCACCCAGUUUCAUUCUGCCUUAAAAUAUGUAAAGAGACAGAUGGCAACACAUCAGGCGAACGGAAAGAAAAGAAAGUUGCAGACAUUUGGAACAUCAGUAGAAAUGAACUUGAAGACGCAGAAGGUUCACACAGGCAAGCGAAUUGGAAACUUCCCCUCUCUGACCCCACUGAAGAGGCCGCUCAUGCAGGAGAAGGUAGAAGCAAACUAUAUCAGCAAGUGGAGUUUGAAACAAGUAGAACUGGAGGGAUACAUAGACUUCACAGUGGCUCUGUGACAAGUCAUGAGACCUGCUAUGAUGCACUUUCAAACAAGCCGGUGAGAAAUAUAGUUGUGGUGAAAGUGGAUUCAGAGAAUAUGACUGAGGCAAGUGCAGGACAGUUUUUGAAUACAUACCAUGAAACUCAGGAUGGACUAAAUGAAGUUAUGUGGGAUGCACACCUGCUAAAUAAGAAAGGAUCGGCCAAUGAAAUUGGAGGAAUUCAGCUCUUAGAAACCAAGAAGAACACUGGGUUAGAGCAGAUUUCAAACUUGUUAUCUACAAGUGACAUGGACAAAAUCUUUGACUGCGAUAUCAAAGGAGGAAAGCUUGAGGAGAAAAAAGAGAAUUGCUUUGAGUACAGACUUAAUACACCUGAAGAUGAACAUCCUCCUGGCAGUGAGAGUACAGAGAUAUCAGUGGGAUUUCAUACUGUCAGUCCCAAAAAGAUCUCAAGGGACCACGAGGUGAGCCACUGCCAAGCUGAAAACCCUCAGGACAUGAAGCACCACACAGAAAGCUCAUUGAUGCAGCCUGAGACCAAAUUAGUCCUAGGUGACAACACCUCUGAUAACCUGGAGAGCACCAGAGAAGACAAAGUAGAUGUGCCGGAGGUCGGAGUGGAAGUGGAAGCAGAGGCGGACACUGGCACAAGCAUUGAAGAUAAGAUUGAGACAGAGCCGCACCUUCGUUCUGACCUCCAGCUCAGAGAGACACAGCAGGAGGCAGAUGACAGAGAAGCUAGUGAAUUACAUGGAAGAGAAGGUGUGUCAGGAGAGAGUGGGACGGACAGAGAUGAGUCAGAGAGGCCACCUUGGAACACUGAUGAGUGUACAUCUACAGGUAAAUGCAUGAUAGACCUCAUUUUAAGAAUGAUUGAUUUAAACAUGAAAGGGCUUUUCAGAACAAGUUCUAUUUUCAAAGAAUAAUAGUGCCCUGAAUAAAAACACAUACAACAUGAAAUGCAACACCCGAUUAUACAUAUAUACUAUAACAAGCCACAAACGGAUAAUACAUUCACACUGCUCCUUCCUGAAUUGUACAUAAAGGACCAGCCUGUGUAAUUUUGCUUGUGUCUUAUUCAAAAGCCAGUUUCUUAAUCUCAGCAUUGGUGGAAAGGGUACUGAAAAUCUAAACACAAGUGCGAGUACAGUUAUAUUAUUGAAACAUUACUCAAUUGCAGAAAACUACUGGUAUUAAAAUAACACUUAAGUAAAAGUAUGAAGUAUUCUUCUCAAACACUGCUAAGCGUAUUGUCAUUGUACUACUAGUGUAGUAUGUAGUUGUAGUAUGUAGUUGUAGUUUGCAGCAUUUACCACUAGAGAGUGUUAGAAUACCUUUUAAUGUAUGUGCUUUAACCAACUGCAGGAGUAAAUUCCCUCCAAAUAUACAGCAUUAUCAAUUCUUUAUCAAGUCAGCUAACCCUGCUCAGAAUUCACUGAGACAAUGGAUCUCUUUAAACAAUUCAAGCAGUAUUAAAGCUAUCUAAUGAAACAGAAACUCAAAGAAUUCUAGUCAUUAUCAAAGUCUGAGUACUGUGGACGUUAGAUUAAUGAUGAGUCUGAGAACAUGCUCUUGCAGCACAUAAGGCUAUAAAGCUUAAACUUAAAGUCAAAUAUGUACAAUUCUGACAGAAAGCAAUAAACUGAAAUUAAACUAGAGGGUGCUAAAGUAUUUCAAGUGGUGUCUUUCAGCCAUCUUUCUUUCAUCGCUGUGGCGGAGCGAUGACAGAGCAGUGCUGAGGCAACUCAGCACUGACGAGGGAUGUUGUGUGCCUGCUCACAUUACAGCCGCAGGAAAGGGAGCUUGAGUCUCAGCUGCUGAGACAAUGCUGAGUCAACUCACAUACACGUCUACAAAAAACACACGCUCAAACAAGUCGCAAGUUGUGUUGUAACAGUACGCCAGUGUGAAUCUUAGGGUGGAUAUCUAGAGCUGACCUUGUCCUGCCACACGCUGCUGACAUCUCACACGCGUUUGUGCAUGCUUACCCAAACACAAGCUUACGUAACAGAGUGUGAUCAUUGAUGGAGGAUGUGAGUGAAAGUGAUGAUCUGAUAGAAACGCUCUUACCUCCUCCCCUCUAGAGGACUCAGCUAGAGAAAGUGGUUCUGUGCCAAGAUUGUCCCAGGAGUGCAGGACAAAGAGGUCAGGGUUCAGAACUCCCUGUAUCCAGCAGCACCAUGACAGCGUACGUGUGAGUCUGUAAGAUUCCAAAUACUGUAUUAAAUGGCAGCUUUACUUGAGACUAUUUUAGAAGUUCUAUAAUUUUGUCCUUUAACCCACAAAAUUAAUUUUGCUCAGUAACUUUAUUUGUGG